rnacentral:lncRNA from 1 species
GUUUUGUUGGAAAAUGUUAAGUCUCUGUGCUCAGUACCAGUCUGAUAUAGGAAGCAUUACCUGUACUACCAUAACGUGCAACUGGUCUCCAAUAAAGAAUUCGUGCAGCUGGUCUCCAAUAUAGAAUUAUAAAGAGACAAGAAUUUAGAAAGGUCAAAUGGAGGAGGGACAAGGAAGGUGAUCAUCGCCCCACACAGGGAUGUUAUUACUGGUGUCUGUGGAGUCUUGGCUACAGCCUUUUAAACACUAAGAUAAAGGAAAAGAAGUAAAUAAAUGAGGAACACCGAUACUCUUCAUGUACAGUAAGUAGUUACCAGUACUGUACUGUCAUACCUUCUAAGAAUGUAACUGAAGACUGUAUCAUCUUCUAUUCUUCUUUACCCACCUACAGCAUAUUGUAUUAUCAUUAAUUAUUAUAUCAACCUGUUUCAUAAUGUCUCCCAUGAAUUAUAUAAUUUUCUUAUAAUCACACUUUCAACAUACCACAUAUACUGCACUAAGUUAAAUGUCAAUCUACAUACGACAUAUUACGGGGGAAGAUCUUGGUCAGAAAAUUUUAGAGCUAACGACUGACCCUUGCGGAAAUCAGCUAUGAUAUACAGUAGAUCCAAAAAUAAGAAUAAAACUUAGAAGAAGUCUCAUUGACACAAGCAGUUAAUCUUGGGGAGUUAGCAAUUACUGAUCAAUGAGAUAAAUUUAGAACAGGUAAAGUCACGGUCAAAUAAUGCUCCGGGAAUACACCCAAAAGUAGUUUCUUGGAUAUCAGCAAAAGAUUUCAUAUUUUUUAGUUCAUCAAUAAUACAUCAAGUGAGAUUACCAACGUGUAGCAACGGUAGUAUACAGCAUCUUUACAUGGUGCCCUAAUAGACCAUCAGGAGCAACGGUGGGAAUGUGGGACGAUCAUUACAUAUACUACACGCAGUCUCCUACUUACAAACGAGUUACGUUCCUGGACCCCGUUCAUAGGUUAAUUUGUUUGCAAGUUGAAUUUUACUUUCUAAAGGUCAUAAAAUAUGAAACAAAAAAUAAAUAUGAACAUUGCUCCCUGAAGAGGUUUUAUUGCAAAUUAAAAUAUUUCUUUUCACCUGUAAAUGCUGUACUAUAAAGUCGAGUAACAUACAUUAUUACGAAAUAUUGAGAGACACUUCGCAAUCAGGCAUACAAAACAUUCUUAGAUGACACGAGCCAUAGUGCUCAUUCGGAAAUCUGUCGUGUCCAGCUGUUCAAGAACUUUUUGUGCCGCGGGUACAAGUUGCAGCGAACACACUCCGGCCUCCACCGCAGCACACCAAAAUUGUACGGACAAUCCCCAGGUUACAGAUGACUUGGGUUACGGAUUUCCGACUUUACAGAUACUCUCCCAUAAGUCUCAUUGAAAAAAUUUUUGGGUUGCGGACGAGUAUCCAUUGUUACAGACAUCAAGUACUGUAGUGUGGCGUAAUGACACUGCAUAUGGAAGAGAUGCUAUUACUGUAUACAGUACAGAAUAUAAUUUUUAAUUUAAAAAAAAGUAUUGUAUCAUUUAAGUAUGGUAACUGUCUACAGUAUAUUAUGUGUACCAGUACCACAUGUGUUCAAUAAUUACCUAUGGAAGGGUCACUUCCAUCUUACAGAUAGCCUCCAGGAACAGUUUCAUCCAUAACCCGGGGAGUGUCUGUAGCCCUGGACUCAAAACUUGGAUUAUACUGUACUGUACUUGUCAGGAUUUUUAAUUUAUUUUAACGGUAUAUUGUUCAUAAGUCUGAAGAUUCAUAAGCAGGAGACUGUCUGUAUUGUACCAAUUUGAAAUAUUUGUGCUUAUUUCUAUAUGAAGACAUCAUCUGUUUCAAAUUUUCCAUUUCAAGGGGCAUGGUUGUAACAGGAGAGUACAGUAUUGCUAAUUGCUUUAAUUCAUACAGUACCACCUAUUCUUAACUUACCUAUAGGAUAGUUAACUACCAAGAGAUCAACCCUAGCUGGCAUAAUGGGAGGUUGUCUUAGUGCAAGCAACCCCACAGUAAGCAGCUUUAAUCAUUAAUCCUGCCUGGCUAAAUGGCAUGGGCCAACAAGGAAACAAAAUUAUCACAAAUUACAGGAAUAACACCAUCUCAAUGCUUAAUACCUACAAGUAAUAACAAUUCAAUAACCCCUGCCAAAUAACACAGUAUGGUUCAGAACUCAAAACUGCUGAAAAAGAAACAUUUUCAAGAUUAUGAUCGCUAUAUAAAGUGCAUCAUUCAUGGGAAGUGUAAGAUUGUUGAUGCAAAAUUUCAAAGCAGUUCAAUGUGCCCUCUCUGAGAAAAACUAGUUCACAGGUGGACAUGCAGACAGCACCUAUAGUACCAUAUCCUCCUUUAAACUGAAGCACCAAGCAGGGGAUAAGACGUUGCACUUUGUAAUGCAAAUUAUGAUAAGAAAUGGUUGAUACAACUUCAGUACAAUAAUGUGUAAUUCAACACAAUAUUAACGACAUUAAUUCAGAAGAAAAAUGUGCCCAACAACCCAGAAAUACCACAAUAUUCUCACUGUGGGUCGGGACUUUCUUUGACAAGUUGAAAUUGUAUAAGAAACUUGACUUUUUGCAAAAUUUUAGUUUCUACCCUAAAAAUAAUACUGUACAACUAUGAAUGAUGUCAUAUUGAAGUUGGAAACAGAGUACGUAAUGUACUGUACUCUACUGUAUACUGUAUGGUAGUAAUUUACCUACAUUUAACUAUAAGUCAUCACCAGAUAACACUUUUUUCUUUCCUUUUAAAUUAUUCAAAGUAUAUUCUUUUCUAAAGUGGAAAGUGUAUAUCAGAUCACCGUACUUGCAUUCAGUUUAUAAAUGUGUACACUGUAAGUAUUAACUUAUAACAAGUAUAUCAUGGUGUCUUAUAUUUGAUAAUUACCCGACGCCUUAACAAAAAAUUAUAUUUCUAAUGAAUUAUUGUACUAAAUCACAAACUUACGGCCAAGAAACUAAAAUCCCCCAUGAUAUUUUACCAUUGCAAUGCUAUUCAGUAUUGCUUUUAUCCCCUGCCCAAGUCUUUCAAUCCAGAGGAGUAUUUAAGAUUAGAUGGUGCUUGUGAUUUAAUUACAGAUUUCUUAACUUAGACAUAACCACUUAUAAACAAUUAGGUAAGGUGAAAUUGAUGAUCAUUAACCAACCUUAUACAUACCAACUUCAAACUAUUUUUUUUUAUAGUAAAGUAUUUACAAUAGCAAUAAAUGAACAUCCAACACCAGGUACAAACACAUUUUCUAAGUUAUAAUCAAAGAAUAUGGCUACUGUACUGUAUAUCUCUGAAAAGGGUCUAAGAGGUACAGUACAUACAUACAUAAGAGGAGAUUUAUAUACAGCAGUCCUCAGACAUCAUUAAUAUUAUUAUGCAUUACCAGUUUAGUACAUGGGAGUGUCUUUUAGAAUGUAACACACAGUCUUUUAUAUUUAUUUCCCUCUCAUAAGGUAAAGUAAAUAAAUUAUACCCAAAGAUGAUAUAUAUUACCCAAGCAAAAUACCAUAUCAUAAUUAUAUUUAUGAUUAUAACCCACAGCUUUUAAGUGUUUUGAAACCAUAUCAGACAUCCUGCAACUGCCCAACUGUGAGGAUUCAUGUUCCAUCAAUAUUCACAGUAAGAAAAAAAUUAUUUUGCAAGAACUAGCUAAGUGCACUUCUUAAAAAGGCUUCCAUUUCUUAUUGCCACAUUUUCAGUGAUAAGUCAUGUUACAUCCUUGUUGUGGUACAGUACAAGACAUUAUUUACGGGCAGUAGUUAUAGCUCCAUGAACAGAGUCCUACACCCUUAUAUGAAGACCAAACGCUGGGCCGUGCUGAGGUAUACAGCUUAGUCAACGCUUUGUCUGUCAUCUUGGCAUCUGUCCCCAGUCCUUGAUUUUGUAACACAGAAACUAAUUGUCUUUAACCUAACCUUGUCAUUGCUAAUUUUGAGAUUCAUUUACAAUUCCAUUUAAAAUAUACACAGCAAAAUCCUAUAAAGAAACUUGUGACUAGCAAAUGACAUGAUGGCAGGCAAAGCAUCAACACUACCCUAACCCGAGGGAUGACUCAGUGUUAAGGCUCCAUCAAUAGAGCUUAAACCACUUUAUUAUCUAUAAAUAUGUACAGUCUCCUCUGUAAUUUAUUUAUGAUAAAUAAUUUGGGAAUUUGCGACGAUAUAAAAAAUAACCUCAUCACUGGAAGACACUAUGUCAUGCAUUUAGUCACAACUCACCACUAACAAGGUUUAUCUAUAGGCAGUCUAAACAAGAUGACUACAGUACUGUACUUACAAAACAGCUUGAUUACUAACCACUGAACUGAAGUUGUUUAUCCAAAACAGCAAUCAGCGAUCAAUGAUGAGUAAUAUGCAAAAAUUAAACUUUUUAGUUUAAAAAUUCUUCAUUGGGUAUCAAAGAUUAUUAUAUUCCCUUACUUUUCAAAAAUAAAAUAACGUAUAAAACAGCCACUACCACCACGGGUAACAUCUAAGGACAAGGGUCCAGGUCGUCUAGCAACUAACAAAAAUUUCCUACCUCAAGACUAAAAUAAUUUGAGUGGAGGAAUACUGGUAGCACUUUUCGUACUCAGAUUUUCUCGUAAUAAAGACACUGCUGUCACCCAUCCGCUUCAAAACAACACCAUGUUUGCACGUGCCAAAUACUGCACAGCAACCAGCUGACUGAUCGACCAUGAGCAUUUCCCAGCCAGCAAAUGACCAACAAACUUUCCUUCCUUCCUUUCCAUACAAACCUAACCUACUUAACCUAUUUUAAAAUAAAAUUAAUAAUAAUAACCAUAAACUUUCAUCCCAGGAUAGAUACAUUAGGAAGGGUUUGUUGGAUCAUUUCAUCAAUGAUAAAUUAUUAUAUAUAAUUUAUCAUAGCAACAUUCACUGCAAGUGAUCGUGUGUAUGGAAUGAGCAACAAUGAUGUGACUGCUGUUGGGAAGCUGCCUCUGCACUCGUAUGUACUAGUACUGCCAAACGAAGAAUACCUGUACCUGUGUUAUUACAAAAAUUGCAAAUCCUGCUAUCAUUAAUUAUUGUCCUUUUUUGGGGAUAUUAUUAUUCUCCAUAAUGUAAGAAUGAAUAAUUUAUCAUCUAUAUAAAAUUUUCUAAAGUUGCUGCUACUGUUGUUUCUCAUAGAACACGAAACAGAACAGCAUUAUUAUUAAUGUCACAUAAACAAAGAUGAUAUCGUCCUCCUUGUGCGGACAGGUCGCAGCUACAUCUAUGUUUACAAGAAAAAGUAACUACCGUACAAAACUUGAAUAUAAAAAGUGCUCUUCCUCUACACAAUUUACUAUAUUCUUGAGGUAAUAAAUAAAUUUUCUUCUAUAAUAUUUUUUGUGAAGUAGCUGGUAACUCACGACUCUUUUCCUUAAAUAUUACUCAGCCAUGUCAUAUCAAACACUCUUCCACGCCGAGAUAACCUGGUGAUUGUUAUCUUAUACAGUCUUAUAAUAACUACUAUUUGUUGAACGGGUAUUAUGAUCAGGUUAUAUUUCACAAGUAACAAAUGGGGUAACUGUCACCUUUAUUGGCAGCAUUUUAUCACCAGUUUUCAAGUAAAAAUUUUCACAUCCAGGCUCAUAACAUUGUUCUAGCUCAUUAUAAAAAGAGAAGAUUGAUUUUCUCAACACAAUUUCAUUCUCUCCUAUACUGUAGCUUAAUCACCCCGCAAGAGACCAGGCCUUUAAAAGUACAGGUCGAUGAGUUUUUUCCAAAGGACUCAAGCUACUGUAUGAAGGCAUAUAAUUCUUGAUGUCUUGGAUAGAAGGAUGCAGAUACUCUUAAUAAACUUUACACAAUAAUUUAGGAUUGUGAAAAGCUGCACGAAGACCCAAUAGACGUGAAUGAAGCACCCUGUAUAUUUAACCCAUAACUAUACUCGAACCGCUCUAACUCAACAAGUUCAGGUAUUUAUCUUAAGUUUCCGAAUUUUUUAAUUUAGUCAUGAUAGGAUUAUUUUCAACAACUCAAUUGGGUAAUUCGGACAAUAUAAUUACAUAAAAAUACAAACCAACUCUUCAUUUUGUCUCAAACAUGACUGUCAAUGAAUUAAAACUGGGAAAUAUUUUUGUUAAUAUCAGAUCUAUAUAAUCUUUGUAUUACUAACUAUUAAUACCUGAAGUGUGACUUGCAUAUUUUGCGUGUACGACUGCCAAGUAAUUUUUUUUAUCACCAAUUAUGUCAAAUUUAAAAAGUUUAACCAAUUUAUCUUCUAACACUCCUUUUUGCAUUUGUUCUUUCACUCGAGUUACAUUUUAUACGUUAAAACUAAUGUAUCAGUAAAGAUCAAAUUAAAAAAAAAAAAAGGACCAGACGUGAAAUAUACCUUUACCAUAAAUUUAUUCAAUAUUUUCCUUUAAUGUAAAAUGUAUUAUUAACACUGAGCUGCAUCCAGCAACUUUAAGUCUUAAGUCCUGGUCAGUAAUUUUUUCAAACUAUAAUAAUAAAUAAUAAUAAUGGCACACAACCUGUUACCUGUGAUACAAGAUGAUUAAAGUAACAUUUCUUACAUCACUUUUCAUACAGAAUUUAGUUACAGCUUAAAACUCAAUAAGGAACAAAUAGUUAACAGUGGCUUAUCAUGUUAUACAAUAAGACCCUUAUGUCAACCUUCUCGGGAAUAAAUCUGAGUGAAAUAAUUCUAUAUGAACCUCCUAUCAUUACUCUCCCUCACCUGAAUGGAUCAGUACACCUACAUCCCUAACUACCAUCCUAACUAGGGCGGUCCUGAUUGAUGAACCAGACCCGCUAAGUACCUGAUUGACAGCACAGAUGGCAGGAGGUACAUUGACAGUCCUCACCUGGUACUGACAACGAGAAACAACAAGUAUAAAACAGGUACUCACUGUUGUCCAUCUUUGGUAGAGUUAGUAGGGGGCAGGAGCCAGAGAAAUCACAAGACGAGGGGACAAUGAUGAUGCGGGCGGUCAAUUGUCAUUUCCCGUUGCUGAUCGCCCUCCCUAACUCUUCACUGAUUUCUGUACAUUCAUCCCCGAAAAACCAACUUUUAUUUUUCUUCUAUGUAUGCAAGGAGUAUUUAAAAGGUGAAUUUUAGUGUCGACAUACUGUAAAUGGUGGUUAAUACUAGUAAGUUAUCGAUUAUUCCACAAACAUCUUCUAACGGGACCUUCUGACUCUCUUCUUAACCAUUAAUUUUGUUUGGAUUGAAUUUCUUAAGAGAUACUGAUAUAACACAAUAUAUUUUUUUUUCUUGUUAGUAUAUUUAUUACAUUUUAUAAAUAUUAAUAAUAUUAUUUUGUAUUAUAAGAUUAAAAUUAACUAGAAAUAGGAAAAAGAGAAUAGUUAUUUUCUCUUGUGGGAAAUGCGCGUGGCAAGAGGUGCGCGUUGGGUUACCAGGGGUCAACGGGGGAUGACAGGUCACUACUUUAUUCCUCGUUUCCUCUUUAUAUAUUCAUCCCACAAUAAACUACAUUCCAUAUAAUAAACAUAUCUUAUCAAUAUAUACAUAAAUAAUGAUGGUAUAUAAAUUUUAAAGCUUAAUAAUAUCUUAUUUUAUUCAUAAAUUGGAAACAAAUUGUGGAAGUCAUCGCAAGUGAACAUUGUUUUUAAUAAUCCACGUAAGUUAAUUGACACCUUUAUUAAUAUAUAUCAUAUAUAUAGUGACAUCCUAAUAUUAAAAAAAAUAUAUAUAUAAUGUUAAUGUUUACUACUGCUCAAGAGCCAAUUAGUAGCGCUGUUAAUGAAUUACUUCCAUAUAAAAAUACUCCAAUUUAAAUCAUAUUAAUUAAAUGAUUAUGCUAACAACAUACCAUAUCAGUUAGUAUUACUCUAAAGCGUUUAUUUAGGAAACAAUUAGACCAACUAUCAACACCACAUUCACCCUUCAGACAUAUCACUGUGUGGAGAGGACACUUAUUACCUUAACAAGUAUAACUAACAUAGAGAAUACAUGAUGGGAAAUAGGCAAAAUACAUAAUAUUCAUGAAAAUAAAAAUAGAGAAAAGGUGAUAAUUACAAGAUAUGUUUCCAGAAUAACGUAAAGUGUGGUAGGUAGUCAGGUUUAAUUACCACACUAAUUUAUGAACCUUUUGUGUACUCCAUAUUUCUAAAAACUGAAACCAGAUUUUUUUCUCAAUAACUAAUCCAUGACAUAUGCAUCAUUUAUGGCUAUUAUUAUCUACCAUAAAAAAAAAUCACAUAUACAUUUCUUCUGGUCUAGCAUAGUGACCAAACGAUGCAAUUGUCACUAGGAUAAUUUAAAUAUCUUUUAGCAGGAAACAUACCAAGAAAAUUACCGUACUUUUUUGUACUUUAUUCCAAUUACUGUACCUCUGUUUUUGUAUUAUGUAUAAGGAUAUGCAUUAAAUAAUUUUAUAGUUA